rnacentral:lncRNA from 1 species
UCCGAUAAGUAUAAGUGUAAAAGCGUUUGUGUAGGCUUUUCCAUGAACCUCCCUUUUUAUUUGUAAAGAAGCAAACGGCUGACACUCUGAUUUUUCAGAGGGAGGAGUUUGAACAGCCAGCAUGAAUGGUUGUCGUAUCUAGGUCAAAUAUGUAAAUUUCGGAAUGCAACACAUUACAGUCAUAAUAAAUGAAUUAGUAACAUCAUGUGCACCAUUUAAGAUUUUGAAAGUGUUUUAA